rnacentral:rRNA from 1 species
GGGUGACAGGUGGUGCAUGGUUGUCGUCAGCUCGUGUCGUGAGAUGUUGGGUUAAGUCCCGCAACGAGCGCAACCCUCGACCUUAGUUGCCAGCAUUCAGUUGGGCACUCUAAGGUGACUGCCGGCUAAAAGUCGGAGGAAGGUGGGGAUGACGUCAAAUCAUCAUGCCCCUUAUGACCUGGGCUACACACGUGCUACAAUGGGCGGUACAAAGGGUCGCGAACCCGCGAGGGGGAGCCAAUCCCAAAAAGCCGCUCUCAGUUCGGAUUGCAGGCUGCAACUCGCCUGCAUGAAGCCGGAAUCGCUAGUAAUCGCGGAUCAGCAUGCCGCGGUCGAAUACGUUCCCGGGCCUU